GCGGGGGGGGGGGGGCAGCGGGCCCGCCGCCGGCCCCUGCCGGCGUGCAGGCUGCCGUCCGUCCUGGUGCGGUGCGUCACGUCGGUGUGGUGAGACUGGUGCGGCUCACAGGCCUGGCUGCGCCUGUGGAGCAAGUCUGUGUGCAGGCCUGCGGUACUUCCAACCCCAGUUUUAUAAAGUAGUCCUACUUAACGAUAAAAAGUAGAAAUGACCCUAGCCGAGUUUUUAAAAAAUCUCAGUUUACCUAACACCUAUUAAAAUCACGUAAGCCUCAAAAGUGGAAAUAUAUAACCUUUUCAAGUAGAAGUAUUUGCUGCUCCGGUCUGACAGCUGCCUGGACCACCAAACUGGUGGAAGACUCCAAGCGAAUGUGUAUGCAGAAAUUUAAUGAGCCUUCUUCCCCUGUGCCCCUCCAAAGAAAGUGUUUGUGCUGGAAUGAAGUAAGGAACUUGAUCUGGCUGCAAAAAUCUCAUGGAUUUACCUUUCUGGAUUAUUUUUCAGGAAAACGUGACAUAAACAAAAUCAAGCAUUUCAUUACUUAUGUGAAGGAUAACACUCCUAUGA